GUUUUAAUAGUUUAUAAAAACAUCGGUCUUGUAAACCGAAAAUAAGAGAAGCUUUUCCCCCCUUUUAAAACU
rnacentral:tRNA from 1 species